rnacentral:rRNA from 1 species
GAUGAACGCUGGCGGCGUGCCUAAUACAUGCAAGUCGAGCGAACCUCUUCAGAGGUUAGCGGCGGACGGGUGAGUAACACGUGGGCAACCUACCUUGUAGAUGGGGAUAACAUCGAGAAAUCGGUGCUAAUACCGAAUAACACUUUUCUCCACAUGGAGAAAAGUUAAAAGUUGGCUUCUGCUAACACUACAAGAUGGGCCCGCGGCGCAUUAGCUAGUUGGUGAGGUAACGGCUCACCAAGGCGACGAUGCGUAGCCGACCUGAGAGGGUGAUCGGCCACACUGGGACUGAGGCACGGCCCAGACUCAUACGGGAGGCAGCAGUAGGGAAUCUUCCGCAAUGGACGAAAGUCUGACGGAGCAACGCCGCGUGAGUGAUGAAGGCCUUCGGGUCGUAAAACUCUGUUGUUAGGGAAGAAUAAGUACCGUUCGAAUAGGGCGGUACCGUGACGGUACCUAACCAGAAAGCCACGGCUAACUACGUGCCAGCCGCCGCAGUAAUAC